rnacentral:pre_miRNA from 1 species
CCCAAGGUUUGACUUAAAUAUUAUCCUAAACGACUUUGUUUAUGAAUACGGAGGGAGUAUUUUUGUUGUUAUGAGAUGAUAAAACAUGAAUAGUACUUUACUUGUGACUUAUGUUUUUAAUUUUUUUUCAAAAAAGAUUCAAAUAAGACGGACGGUUAAAGUUGGGCAUGAAAAACGAUGGCUGCACUUAAA